rnacentral:lncRNA from 1 species
UCAUGAAUUAUUUUUUGUGUUUGACAAGCCCUUCAGACUUGUGCCUACGUACCAACAUAAAAAUGAGGGAUCAAAACCUCGUAGUUCGUGGUAACAAUUUCAAAAUGAGUCGAUUGCUUUUAAUAAAAGGUUAAUAAGAAAGGCACAAAGGGCCCAAAAUUUUGAAUGAAGUUGUUAGUUCUUUUGAUCUUUUGAAACUUUAAGUCAAU